UAAAAAAAAGCCAAACAAGAAUGUGUCCUCAGUACACGAAUGCCCCACUCGCACUUUCAUUUUCUAUGUUCAGUGGACCGUGACAUUGGGAUAAAAACUCUAAUUUGACAUUAAAAUUAGAAAGAUCAUAUCAUAGGGAACAUGUGUACUAAGUUUGAAGUUGAUUGGACUUCAACUUCAUCAAAAACUACCUUGACCAAAAACUUUAACCUGAAGCGGGAUAGACGGACGAACGGACGCACAGACCAGAAAACAUAAUGCCCUUCUACUAUCGUAGAUGAGGCAUAAAAAAGUACGAAGUUGAAGAGCGUUGAGGACCAAAAUUCCUAAAAGUUUUGCCAAAUACAGCUAAGGUAAUCUAUGCUUAAAGGAGGGACGAAAGAUGCCAAAGGGACAGUCAAACUCAUAAAUAGAAAAUAAACUGACAACGCCAUGGCUAAAAAUAAAAAAGACAAGCAGGCAAAUAACAUGAAUAAUAGUACAC
rnacentral:lncRNA from 1 species